GAUCCUGGCUCAGGAUGAACGCUGGCGGCGUGCUUAACACAUGCAAGUCGAGCGAAGCACAUAAGUUUGAUUCUUCGGAUGAAGACUUUUGUGACUGAGCGGCGGACGGGUGAGUAACGCGUGGGUAACCUGCCUCAUACAGGGGGAUAACAGUUAGAAAUGGCUGCUAAUACCGCAUAAGACCACAGUACUGCAUGGUACAGUGGUAAACAACGUCGGUGU
rnacentral:rRNA from 1 species